rnacentral:tRNA from 2 species
CGCGGGGUGGAGCAGCCCGGUCAGCUCGCUUGGCUCAUAACCAAGAGGUCGCAAGUUCAAAUCUUGCCCCCGCAACCA